ensembl:lncRNA
UCUCUCCUCUUGGUACACAGCGGUUUGUCCCUACCACGUGCUCCACAUGGGCACAGAGACCUUUAGGAAGCCUUUGCUGCUCAUGCUGGCAGUCCCCCGGUGCUGGGGCACAUUCAUCUAUGCUCACCCUCCCGUCCUCCUCCUCGAGCUGCAGCACGUGGUCCAUUCUCACAUGAGCAGAACAACAAGACAGCCAGGUGGAGACCCAGAAGCCACGCACCAAGACUUCACUCUUGAGAUCUCAAUGUGGGAUCCAGGUCCUAACAACUGAAACCUUAGAGCAUUCCGAAAAUGAAUAAAAAGGCAACAUACUCAAUUAAAACAAAAGCAAAACCCCAUGAAUUGGUAUUGUUUCAUUUAUGGACCACUUGCAAUCCAAAUAAAUUUUUGUAAUCAAAUUGCUUGAUUUAAACAAUCCUGAUAUCUUCUUUUAAAAAGCUUUCAUUUUCUCACUCCUGUCAACCUGUGCCCCUGCUGUUCUCUCUGGGCUACACUCUUCCAACCCAGAGAAGAUUGACUUGCUUCUGAGAUGGCACAUCUUAUGUCAUAUUUAAUUAUUUAGGUAGUUUUCCCAUUUACUAGGACACCAUAUUCUAAAGGGCAGAGUCCCUGACUCCCAUAACCUGUAGCACCAGUGCUAGCCCAAGGCAUGGCCCAGUUGUUGAGUGAAUACUGAAACUAAUAGAAGGGAAGAAGGGAGGCUCUGUAGAGAAUAAACACAUAAUUAAUGUGAUAACAUAGGGGAUAAUCUAGGAGGUGCAUCUAAGUGUACUGUGCCUUAUCAAGCAUUUUUGAGCACACUUGGCUUGUACUGCUAACAUUCUAAAGGGAGGAGGCAGUAUUUGCUCUGAUACUCAUGGUGCCUUGAAGUGGGAUUAGAAAAAACAAGAGGGCAGGCAGCUAGUAGAUCCUUUCGCAUUCUCUUCCCAUCAUCAACACCUAACAUGACAGCUGUAGGGAAGGUACACAGAUGGAAUUUAAGCUCCUCCCACAUUUCACCUUCCAGUGUAUGAACGGUUAUCAUAUCUUGAGAGACUCAAUUUGGUAAAUCACGACUGCAAGAAUCUCUCAAAAUAGCCACAGAUAUUUGCACAGUGCCUACACAUACACCAUUUUAUCCUCGAAACCUCUCUGGAAGGUUGGAAGGGCAUGUUUUGUUAUUAUUCUAAUCUCCAUUUUACAAAUGAAGAAACAUGCUUGGAGAUAUAAACAUGCUGAAAAACAUACAGCAAAGAAGUGCAAAGUCAAGAUCUGAACUUGAGUCUCUCAGACUCCAGAUCUAUUUACUACCUACUGGUGGUUAAAAGAUAGUAAAGAGAAAUACGAAUCUUCAUCCACAUGACUAACUUUGUGUUCAUUUUUAAGUGUGCUUGGUUCUUUGGCCAAUGGAUAUUUGUAACCAUGUGAGCCUUUCUCAGGUCUUUCUCUUCCUCUUGUAUCGGACAAAGAAUGUUCAUUUCAUAUAUCAUUGAUAGCUAGUCGGCUACAGCAGUUCCACCAAGGUAAUGUAAGUCAUUAAUAAGGCCAAAAAUGUAUUUUGAGAUGCAAGAAGGAAGUUAUUAAUGCUGAAUUUUAUACUUUUUGGCUUCUGAAGAAAUUAAAAGAACAGAGUGUUGUAAUGGACUGAGUAGUAUCCCACAAAAGUAUGUGUCCAAGUCCUAAGACCAAGUCUAUCAAUGUGAUCUUGUU